rnacentral:rRNA from 1 species
AUUGAACGCUGGCAGCAUGCUUUACACAUGCAAGUCGAACGGCAGCGCGGGCUUCGGCCCGGCGGCGAGUGGCGAACGGGUGAGUAAUACAUCGGAACGUGCCCAGUAGUGGGGGAUAGCUCGGCGAAAGCCGGAUUAAUACCGCAUACGACCUGAGGGUGAAAGCGGGGGAUCUUCGGACCUCGCGCUAUUGGAGCGGCCGAUGGCAGAUUAGCUAGUUGGUGGGGUAAAGGCCUACCAAGGCGACGAUCUGUAGCUGGUCUGAGAGGACGACCAGCCACACUGGGACUGAGACACGGCCCAGACUCCUACGGGAGGCAGCAGUGGGGAAUUUUGGACAAUGGGCGAAAGCCUGAUCCAGCAAUGCCGCGUGUGUGAUGAAGGCCUUCGGGUUGUAAAGCACUUUUGGCGGGAACGAAAAGGACUGUGCCAAUACCACGGUUCGAUGACGGUACCCGCAGAAUAAGCACCGGCUAACUACGUG